AACAUUAUUGAAGAGAUCAGAAUAGAGCUUCCUCAGGUAAGGCCUCUCACUUCCAGGUCUGCUUUGGAUUAUGGUAUAGAAAUCAUGUUUCAAGUUAGAAGAGCUCCAUCGCAGUGCCUUCUGAACUUCACGCCAAGAUUCAGACUCCAACAAAGCUUUAAUAUCUAGCAAAGAUUGUGCAUGACCUCUAAUCUCACUCUCUGCCUCUUCAAUUGUUUGU
rnacentral:misc_RNA from 1 species